AGCUCUGUGGUGGUUCACGCAAGAUUGCAAAUCUUGAGAAGCCGGCUAAUACCUGGCCGGGGCUU
rnacentral:tRNA from 1 species